UGUCAAGAAACUCAGUUUCCAUAAUCCGGGCAGGGGUGUAGAGAAACACGAUUUUCUCAGCUAGAUAUCUCCUGAGAGAGCAGAUUUCUUGGCCAUGUAUAUGCUAAACCGGGCUUCUAAUUGCUUUCUUCUGUAUGCAUGUUCAAGACUUCAGUCAAGGAAAGUAUUGCUGUGACAGCAGAACAGGUGGAGACAGAGUGGCGACUCCUUACGAAGCAGAGAUAAGGAAAAAGUGAACUGUAGAAGAGCCUGCAGCCAGGCUACAUCUGUUUACUCAUUAAAUGAACCAUGACAAAUCCUCACUACUUACGCACACAAGGACCAACAACACUCAUCUGAUCCCCAGCAGAUAGCAAAUGGACCGAAAUGGUUACAGACAACUUUCUUCAAUGAAAUGGGACAAUGUGCAAGCUCAGCACAGUCACAUUAAAUGAAUGCAGUUGGAAAUACUUGGAGCUCAAUCAGUCAGACACGCAGUCUGACUUCCUGUGUAAAGCUGGCAGUGAGCUUGUCAGCUUCUCUCCACUGAUUGAGCAAGAGGCGGAAGACUGAUGGUACACGGCCAGAUGUUUGAGGAAAUGGAAACAGGUGACAGUGCCAUCAGCAGAAAGCCAAAAGAAGACAGAUAUGUGUCAGAAAAAGUAACGUUCCUCAUAAUUAUCUAAAGAAAUUUAUUUUAAAAUCAAUCCAAGAUCUGAAGUUUGACAAACAGGACAGCAAAAGGAGCAGUUCCAAUCAGCCUGACAAACAGCUGCUGUUAGGGCUGUGAAAACGGUUCAACCUAUCAGAGACUGGCAGGGCAGAUUACUAAAGGAUCAGCAACGUACACCGAUGCUGCGACACUGAAAAACCAAAUUAGCAAGGUAUUAUCUGCAGUCAUCAACUCCAAUGCAAAUUAUCAGUCUUUGUUAAACCAUGUGCUUCUCCUCAUUAAAUCAUCAUCAAGCAUCCACAUUACAAAGUCCAUGUGAUACUGGGUUCAUAUAGUACAGAUUACAGACUACAGCAUUAAUUCUUAACUUGUAACAUUUUUAACACCCCGGCAUUAAGCACAGGUGAUAAUGGAUGAAGGAAAGUGUCAUAGUAAAUGUAAUAUAUUUGUGUUGUGAAGGCAAUUAAUUGGACUGGUGCUCUGCAGAAGACGUAUAUAUUGACACAUUCAUGCAUCACAAGAUUCAUGCAUCACUCAUGCAUCACUAAUCACACACACUCUCUCUCUCACACACACAAUACAGAAAUAAGAAUAAGUUCUUUGGACACAUGUACAGGCUGAUUCUCUCUUCAUGCAAACCACUGCGAGGUAAACCAUGGGACAGUAUAAAGAGGAGUCUAAGUGGGUGGAAGUAAAAAUAUAGCAUAUGGCACUAAAACACUGUAUUUUAAAUGUGUCUAUGAUGAUUGCAGAAAGAGAGAGAAUUUGCAGGGAAAGCAGUGCAUCUAGUCAGUGUCUCCAUAAUGUGAUUAGAAGAGACUGCAUAAACUAAUGUGUUAGCAGUAUGGAGGCAGGCUGCCAGAAGUACCAGUUCAAAGCAUGAUGGAAAUCAAAGCAGAAAAAUGCUAUUACUCAACAAGAAGAACGUGAUAAAGUGGCCAUUCACAGCAUGUUAAGCUUCAUAUUCAAAUCAUCUGAAGUACUAUGUCUUAUGUCUUAUUGUACUGUAGGUGCCAAAUGGAUCUUUGCCUGAAAAUAAACAGCAUUGCACUAUUU